UAGCCAUGCAUGUCUNAGUACAGAGACUCGCUAUUCUUAAACCGCGGAUGGCUCAUUAUAACAGCUAUGAUUUGAGAGAAAUAAACUUUGUUGCCACUUACUAACNGNGGUAAUUCUAGAGCUAAUGGAUAUUANAANGCUGUGACUUCGGAAGCAGCGGAUUUAUUANAUCAAAACCCUCCUUUCUGCAAAGAAGGAAAUUUGAUGACUCUGGAUAACUUUNCUGAUCGAACNACCUUGUGUUGACNACGUAUCUCUUGAAGUGGCUGACCUAUCANCUUUCGAUGGUAAGAUCAANGCUUACCNUGGNUGUAACGGGUAACGGGGAAUCAGUGUUCGAUUCCNGAGAGGGAGCCUGANAAACGGCUACCACNUCCACGGANGGCAGCNGGCGCGUAANUUACCCAAUACCGGCUCGGNGAGGUAGUGACAAAAAAUAACAAUAUGGNCCCUAGGGGUUUCAUAAUUGCAAUGANAAUAUUUUAAAUACUUUAUCAAGUAUCAAUUGGAGGGCAAGUCUGGNGCCANCANCCGCGGUAAUUCCANCUCCAAAAGCGUAUAUUAAAGUUGUUGCAGUUAAAAAGCUCGUANUUGAAAUUGGGGUAACUAANUGAGUUGAANUUUUAUGACUGAAAUUCAUUUGNUCCUUUUAUGUCGNGUAUAUUGUUCAGGUGCUUANCUGNAUCUGAUUAAUAACCGACAAGUUUACUUUGAAAAAAUUAGAGUGCUUAAAGCANGCUUAUGCUUGUAUAUUGUUGCAUGGAAUAAUGAAAUANGACUUCGGUUUUAUUUUGGUGGUUUUCGAAACUGAAGUAAUGAUUAAAAGAGACUGCCGGGGGCAUGUGUAUGCUGNUGUUAGAGGUGAAAUUCUUAGAUCAUCAGCAGACAAYYUACUGCGAAAGCAUUUKCCAAGAAUGUUUUCAUUAAUCAAGAACGAAAGUCGGAGGAUNGAAGACGAUCAGAUNCCGUCCUAGUUCUGACCAUUAAACUAUGCCCACUGACNGUUAGCUAAGGUAAUAUUUCAUAUCCUUGCNAGAAGUCACCGGGAAACCUAAGUCUAUGGGGUUCCGGGNGAAGUAUGGUUGCAAAGCUGAAACUUAAAGGAAUUGACGGAAGGGCNCCNCAAGGAGUGGAGCCUGCGGCUUAAUUUGACUCAACACGGGAAAUCUCACCCGGUCCGGACACUGUGAGGAUUGACAGAUNGAUAGCUCUUUCUUGAUUCGGUGGGUGGUGGUGCAUGGCCGUUCUUAGUUGNNGGAGCGAUNUGUCUGGUUAAUUCCGNUAACGAACGAGACUCGAGCCUGCUAAAUAGUACAUUUGUGUUAAAUCGCAAAUGCUGACUUCUUAGAGGAAUUAAUAGCGUUUAGCUAAAUGAAAAUGAGCAAUAACAGGUCUGUGAUGCCCUUAGAUGUCCGGGGCCGCACGCGCGCUACAAUGUCAGUAACAACGAGUUUUAUUCCUAACUAGAAAUGGUAGGGUAAUCUGUUGAAUCACUGUCGUAUCAGGAAUAGUGGUUUGAAAUUUUUCCACUUGAACGAGGAAUUCCUAGUAAGCGCAAGUCACUANCUUGCGCUGAUUACGUCCCUGCCCUUUGUACACACCGCCCGUCGCUACUACCGAUUGAAUGGUUUAGUGAGAUUGUUGGAUUCUAAUNNAAGAAAUGGCAACAUUUCU
rnacentral:rRNA from 1 species